AUGGAACUCUUGGACUCAGCCACUCCC
rnacentral:piRNA from 1 species